rfam:Beta vulgaris subsp. vulgaris Bvchr9.sca022.con0032.1, whole genome shotgun sequence.
AACCUAUUAGCUUAAAUGGAAGAGCAUUGUGUCAUGCACAAGAUGUGGGUUCGAUUCCCAUAUAGAUUA